rnacentral:rRNA from 1 species
CGAUUCUGGCUCAGGAUGAACGCUAGCGGCAGGCUAACACAUGCAAGUCGAGGGGCAACGCGAGUAGCAAUACUUGGCGGCGACCGGCGCAAGGGUGCGUAACGCGUGAGCAACAUGCCCGUAUCAGGGGGGAUAAUCCAGGGAAACUUGGUCUAAUACCCCAUAGUAAUUUUGUAAGGCAUCUUAUAAGAUUUAAAGCUUUGGUGGAUACGGAUUGGCUCGCGUGACAUUAGCUGGAUGGUAAGGUAACGGCUUACCAUGGCUAUGAUGUCUAGGGGUUCUGAGAGGAAGGUCCCCCACACUGGAACUGAGACACGGUCCAGACUCCUACGGGAGGCAGCAGUGAGGAAUAUUGGACAAUGGAUGGAAAUCUGAUCCAGCCAUGCCGCGUAGAAGGAAGAAGGUCCUAUGGAUUGUAAACUUCUUUGCAGGGGAAUAAAGUGCAGGACGUGUCCUGUUUUGUAUGUACCCUGAGAAUAAGGAUCGGCUAACUCCGUGCCAGCCGCCGC